rnacentral:rRNA from 1 species
GACAGAGGGUGCAAACGUUGUUCGGAAUUACUGGGCGUAAAGCGCGUGUAGGCGGCCAUGCAAGUCGGAUGUGAAAGCCCUCGGCUCAACCGGGGAAGUGCACUCGAAACUGCAAGGCUAGAGUCUCGGAGAGGAUCGUGGAAUUCUCGGUGUAGAGGUGAAAUUCGUAGAUAUCGGGAGGAACACCAAUGGCGAAAGCAGGUAACUGGACUAUUACUGACACUCAACUGCGAAAGCUAGGGGAGCAAACAGG